UCUUUCUUGCUGCCAUUGUUUUUUUUUUUUUUUCUUUUUUUUCUUUUUUGCUCUUUUACUCCUGAAGACAGAAAAAAA
rnacentral:ribozyme from 13 species